CAGUAGCCGCGGGAAUACGGAGGGGGCUAGCGUUGUUCGGAAUUACUGGGCGUAAAGCGCACGUAGGCGGCGAUUUAAGUCAGAGGUGAAAGCCCGGGGCUCAACCCCGGAACUGCCUUUGAGACUGGAUUGCUAGAAUCUUGGAGAGGCGGGUGGAAUUCCGAGUGUAGAGGUGAAAUUCGUAGAUAUUCGCAGGAACACCAGUGGCGAAGGCGGCUAACUGGUCCAUAACUGACGCUGAGGUGCGAAAGCGUGGGGAGCAAACAGGAUUAGAUACCCCUGUAGUCCCUGUCUCUUAUAC
rnacentral:rRNA from 1 species